rnacentral:rRNA from 1 species
GCGAGGAAUUUUGCGCAAUGGGCGAAAGCCUGACGCAGCAACGCCGCGUGGGCGAUGAAGGCCUUCGGGUUGUAAAGCCCUUUUACGGGGGAAGAAGUUCUGACGGUACCCCGCGAAAAAGCCACGGCUAACUACGUGCCAGCAGCCGCGGUAAUACGUAGGUGGCAAGCGUUGUCCGGAUUUAUUGGGCGUAAAGUGCGCGUAGGCGGUUUGUAAAGUCCGAGGUGAAAUCUCCUGGCCCAACUGGGAGAAGCCCCCGGAUACUGGCAGACUGGAGGGAAGCAGAGGAGAGUGGAAUUCCCGGUGUAGUGGUGGAAUGCGUAGAUAUCGGGAGGAACACCAGUGGCGAAGGCGGCUCUCUGGGCUUCACCUGACGCUGAGGCGCGAAAGCGUGGGGAGCAAACCGGAUUAGAUACCCGAGUAGUCC